ACCCUAGUAGCUCAGAAAGUAGAGCGUCGUUCUAGAAAUGCGAAGGUCGCGGGUUCGAUUCCCAUGCAUUGGUUC
rnacentral:tRNA from 1 species